AAUUAUUCUCUCUAAAACCUUCACAGCAGAAACUGUGUGUGUAUAAAUACAUAUACACACGCACUACACACACUUAUUUUAUAUUAAUUUAAUCUCUGAGAGUUGGGUGGAGCUUUUUCUACAGUAGGUGGUGGUUGAAGAAGGGAGGCGGCAAAAAAAAAAAAAGAAGGAAUGGGAGUGCCGGCGUUUUACAGGUGGCUGGCCGAUCGGUACCCGUUGUCCAUCGUCGACGUGGUGGAGGAGGAGCCGAGGGAGGACGCAAACGGUGACGUUGUACCUGUAGAUGUCUCGAAGCCAAAUCCUAAUGGAAUGGAGUUUGAUAACUUGUAUUUGGAUAUGAACGGGAUUAUUCAUCCGUGUUUUCACCCAGAAGGCAAGCCUGCGCCGACCACCUAUGAUGAUGUAUUCAGAUCAAUAUUUGAUUACGUCGACCACUUAUUCUCACUGGUUCGCCCAAGAAGGCUUCUUUAUAUGGCAAUUGAUGGCGUUGCUCCUAGAGCUAAAAUGAACCAGCAACGAUCUAGGCGUUUUAGGGCUGCUAAAGAUGCUGCUGAAGCUGAAGCUGAAGAAGAAAGGUUGAAGAAAGAAUUUGAGGUUGAGGGGGCUAAUUUAUUGCCAAAAGAGAAGCCUGAGACAUCUGAUUCAAAUGUCAUCACCCCUGGUACUCCAUUCAUGGCAGUGCUUUCUGUAGCGCUUCAGUAUUAUGUACAGUCUAGGUUGAACCACAAUCCUGGCUGGAGGUUUACAAAGGUUAUUCUUUCUGAUUCAAAUGUUCCUGGUGAGGGAGAGCACAAAAUCAUGUCAUAUAUUCGUUUACAACGUAAUCUUCCUGGCUUUGAUCCAAACACCCAUCAUUGUCUAUAUGGUCUGGAUGCUGAUCUGAUUAUGCUGUCUUUAGCUACACAUGAAGUCCACUUUUCUAUAUUGAGGGAGGUAAUUACUCCACCUGGGCAACAGGAAAAAUGUUUUUUAUGCGGUCAAGUUGGUCAUUUGGCAGCUGAGUGUAAUGGUGCGGGUAGUGGGUCUAAAGAUGCAAAUGGGAAUUUGGUAAAUGACGUUCCUAUUCACAAGAAAAAGUAUCAGUUCCUCAACAUAUGGGUUUUACGUGAGUACUUGCAGUAUGAUUUAGAGAUAGUCAGCCCUCCAUUUGCGUUAGACUUUGAAAGGCUGGUGGAUGAUUUUGUGUUUUUGUGCUUCUUUGUUGGCAACGACUUUCUACCUCAUAUGCCUACAUUAGAAAUUAGAGAGGGGGCUAUCAAUCUGCUGAUGGUUGUAUACAGAAGGGAGUUCACGGCAAUGGGUGGUUAUCUUACUGAAGAGGGUGAGGUUCUGCUGGACAGAGUUGAACACUUUAUUCAGGCUGUUGCUGUUCAUGAAGAUCAAAUUUUUCAAAAGCGUGCUCGUAUACAGCAGGCCAUAGAGAAUAAUGAAGAGAUGAAGCUUAAAGCAAGAGGAGAGACCAACGAGGAGCCCCAGGCUCAAGUUGUGGAUAAGGUAAAGUUAGGGGAGCCUGGUUACAAAGAAAGGUACUAUUGUGAGAAAUUUGGAGUAUCAAAGCCAGUGGAGAUUGAUGAAGUCAGAAAUGAUGUAGUUCAGAAGUAUGUGGAGGGGUUAUGCUGGGUGUGUCGGUAUUACUACCAAGGUGUCUGCUCAUGGCAAUGGUUCUAUCCAUAUCAUUAUGCUCCAUUUGCUUCUGACCUUAAAGAUCUAGCUGAUUUAGAGAUUACAUUUUUUCUUGGGGUGCCAUUUAAACCCUUUGAUCAGCUCAUGGGUACCCUGCCAGCUUCAAGUUCAAGUGCUCUUCCUGAGAAGUACGGGAGCUUAAUGACUGAUCCAUCAUCGCCUAUUAUACAUUUCUAUCCAUCUGAUUUUGAAGUUGACAUGCAUGGGAAGCGAUUUGCCUGGCAGGGUGUUGUGAAGUUGCCAUUCAUUGAUGAGAACAAAUUGCUUACUGCUACAAAGAAACUUGAAGAUUCGUUAACGGAAGAAGAGCGGCAUCGUAAUAGUGUGAUGUGUGAUUUGCUCUAUGUCCACCCCCUCCAUCCUCUCGGUCCACAUGUUCUGUCAUACUAUCACCUGUCUGGUUUAGUGCCUCUAAAAGAGCGGCACCCUUGCGCUAUUGACACCAAUGCAAGUGUUGGAAUGAAUGGAUUUAUGUGGUUAACUGAGAGGAAUCGUAAGACAUCAGUAGUUCCUUCCUCAGUUAAUGGAUUUCCAGAUAUCAUCAACAAUGAAACACUAAAUAUAACCUAUUUGAAUCCGUUACCUCAUAAGCACAUCCCAAGGCCUCCUGAUGGUACAGUAAUUCCUGAAAAGGUCCUAAGAGCAAUUGACAUUAAACCAUUCCCUGUGUUAUGGCAUGAAGAUGUUGGUAGCAAGCGCCAGCUAGGAAGAAAUAGGCCACAGGUACCUGGAGCAAUAGCUGGUCCUUCGCUGGGUGAAGCAGCACACCGUCUACUUAACAACACACUCAAUAUAAAUUCCAACUAUAAUUACUCUGGGGUGAGGGCACAAAAGGCUAACCAGAAUUUCCCAAGAAACCAUCUUACAGAUAAGCCGAGACCUGCUGGACCAUCAGGAUAUGAAAGGGGCUUCUCUGAGCAAAUGACUUAUCGAAGCGCUCUGGGCAACGAUGCAGGAAAUAAGCCUAGGCCUCCUGGACAAUCUGGAUAUGGAGGCUUUGUUGGGGAACCAAAUUAUGUCAAUGGAUAUCAUAAUUCUCGGGGCAUGUUGGGUGGUCAGGGAUAUGCUUCUUCACCAUUUGAGUUGCAGAGCCACAGGCAAAAUUUCAGGGCACAAUGUCGAUAUCCAAGUCAAGAUCAGUAUUACAACUUAAGGAAUGGAAUGACUACCCUGACAAUUGAAACUGGCGGCCGAACAAGGCCAAAUGCUGCAUUUUCUCCAAGGAUGCCAAAUUCAGUGCAGUCAUCUAAUACAGGCCACAUUCAUGUGCAGAAUGUCAGUCCACUUCCAUCACCUCCUUCAAAGUGGAUCGGCAAACCUGCUGCUGGAACAGCUUCAGGAUACGAGAAGCAAGUGAAAAAAGUUUAUCAAGUCAAAAGCCGACCCAGUCAGAAUUCAUCUGAUAUAGGAUCCAGUAAUGCUGUUGCAUAGGUUGGACUGUUUGCUGCUGUCAAGUGGACCUUUACGUAAUCUGUUUCAGUAGAGCAAGGAUGUCAAAAUAUUUGGUGCAUGAGUACAGGUCCUAGACUCUGGAUGAAACAAUUACGAACAGUUCGAAGCUUGUCGCUAUGUAAUCUUGUUUCAGAGAAAUACCAGAAACAACGAUGUUCGUUACCUGAGUUGGUAAUGCACGAGGAUCUCCAAUAGUGUUUUAUCUCACAAAAGAACUUGCUCUCUGAACAUAGACUUGCUGUUAACAACAGGGUAUCACAAGCAAGAUAUACAUGCUCGGUCGCUCUCAUGUUUCCUAUCAUUUGCCCAUGUGGUGCGGCGGGGCUUGGAGAUUUCAGUGUUAUUCACAAUCAACAGGAGUAUUCUAAACAGCUUGUGUGCUACAAAUAGAGAAACUUCAGUUAAGUUUCUGUAGUAGGAGCAGCCAAGAUAAAAAAAUCCAAGAAACAAAGCCAGAUUUGAAGUGAUAUACAAAAGACACAGGAGCAACAGACAACCUAAGUUCCAUACCAUUUGCCAUUAGCUUGGCAUCUUCUGAGCCUACUCUCCAUACUGUAAGCUGGUAUCAGUGGCCAAAUUUAGGUUCUCAAUAAUGAUUUUAGCUACUCAUGAAGGAAUCUGUCUACGCAGGUAUUGUGUAAAUCUUACUAGAUGUAGAAGGUGCAAUUUAAGAAAAUCCUUGUUAUAUUCAUUUGCUAGAUGCAGGCUAGCUUUCAUAAUGCUUACAAUAUGCACAUCACUACCAGACGAGAUGUGGUACCCCUUAGAUCUACCUUUCUGCUUUCCAGUUGUGUAACUGUUUUAAGGGUAAGCAACACAAGUCAUGGACAAACAAGCUAACCAAUUUUUGACUUGAAUAUUUGAUUAGUUUCUUCCUGUCAAAACUGGGAUACUUUCCAGGCGAAGGCUUUACACCAAAGGAAGCAAAAUCUGCAAAACUAUGAUCAAGAAAUAUGUUAUAGUACUUGAACGUUUGGGC